rnacentral:rRNA from 1 species
GGGGGAUAUUGCGCAAUGGGGGCAACCCUGACGCAGCAACGCCGCGUGAAGGAUGAAGGUUUUCGGAUUGUAAACUUCUUUUAUUAAGGACGAAACUUGACGGUACUUAAUGAAUAAGCUCCGGCUAACUACGUGCCAGCAGCCGCGGUAAUACGUAGGGAGCAAGCGUUGUCCGGAUUUACUGGGUGUAAAGGGUGCGUAGGCGGCUUUGCAAGUCAGAUGUGAAAUCUAUGGGCUCAACCCAUAAACUGCAUUUGAAACUGUAGAGCUUGAGUGAAGUAGAGGCAGGCGGAAUUCCCCGUGUAGCGGUGAAAUGCGUAGAGAUGGGGAGGAACACCAGUGGCGAAGGCGGCCUGCUGGGCUUUAACUGACGCUGAGGCACGAAAGCGUGGGUAGCAAACAGGAUUAGAUACCCUGGUAGUCCACGCUGUAAACGAUGAUUACUAGGUGUGGGGGGUCUGACCCCUUCCGUGCCGGAGUUAACACAAUAAGUAAUCCACCUGGGGAGUACGGCCGCAAGGUUGAAACUCAAAGGAAUUGACGGGGGCCCGCACAAGCAGUGGAGUAUGUGGUUUAAUUCGAAGCAACGCGAAGAACCUUACCAGGUCUUGACAUCCAACUAACGAAGUAGAGAUACAUUAGGUGCCCUUUGGGGAAAGUUGAGACAGGUGGUGCAUGGUUGUCGUCAGCUCGUGUCGUGAGAUGUUGGGUUAAGUCCCGCAACGAGCGCAACCCUUGCUAUUAGUUGCUACGCAAGAGCACUCUAAUAGGACUGCCGUUGACAAAACGGAGGAAGGUGGGGACGACGUCAAAUCAUCAUGCCCCUUAUGACCUGGGCUACACACGUACUACAAUGGAUGUUAACAGAGGGAAGCAAGACAGCGAUGUGGAGCAAACCCCUAAAAACAUUCUCAGUUCAGAUUGCAGGCUGCAACCCGCCUGCAUGAAGAUGGAAUUGCUAGUAAUCGCGGAUCAGCAUGCCGCGGUGAAUACGUUCCCG